rnacentral:misc_RNA from 1 species
GAACUAAGAGACCACCUUGACGCGAUAAAUUUUCCAAAGAAAAAGAAAAACAGCGAGCCUUUUACGUCCGCACAGAUACACCGAGAGACGAUGGAGGUUGUUCGUUACCGCAGCUUGGGUAAAAAGUCACUGCCGAAUUUCCAGCGAGCAUUCGAAUGGGACGACUUUUUGUUCGCUAGAAAGUUUUCGAGCCGCUGUCAACUCGGACGGAAACAGAGUAAGGCGUACAUGUCCAGAGGCGUACGGCGCAAAAAACGAGUGGACGUUGCGUCGGUGCAGCGGCAAAAACCACCGAUAUAGAGCGGAUUAAAGAAGCACGAAGAUCGAGGAAGAAAACAUGCUCGCUUUCGAGUCGGUCACGCAUCAUCGGCAGGCUCGGUCGCGAAAUCGAUCUGCCAUACUUUCGCCGCGGAUGCUUGCCAGAAAUCGUCGGCCUUCGCCGACUCGUUCGGUUCGGAGAUUCCUCGUUAACUGUUAAUCGGACUCUUACACGGAUGUGGCGCGGCGAACGGAAGAAGACGGAUGCCGCGAUAGAAGCAGCGAAACAGCACUCUCGUCGCCUGUCGCCUGUCGCCUGUCGCCUGUCGCCUGUUGCUUGUCCCUGUCGGCCUACGCACGUACAACGCCCGUUAAAACACGGCGUUAUAACCCGACACACCGUAAAACCCACAAAUACAAGCUCACGAGUGUUCCUGUUACGUUAAAGAAAGGGUGGCAAUCGUCCCAUAGAGAGAUGACCAAUUUCACGCAGGGACGUGUAAUUUAAACUAUUACUUGUUCGUAAGAAACUGUACGUGCGAUCCUCGGAACUACGAAACCGUGAAAGUGGUCUAACCGAACAAAAGGGAACGAAGCGGACGAGAAAAAAAACGGACGAACGGAAGAAAAAUGAAGCCAAAGUAUAGCAGCAUCGGCUGAAAAAUCGAAGCGAAUCCGGGAAUCGAUAGAUUCGCGAAGAAG